rnacentral:rRNA from 1 species
CAAGGGCGUAUGUAAAAGUUGUUGCAGUUAAAAAGCUCGUAGUUGAACCUUGGGUUUGGUUGGCCGGUCCGCUUUUUUGCGAGUACUGGAUUCAACCGAGCCUUUCCUUCUGGCUAACCAGUCGUUUCGGCGGCUGGCGAACCAGGAUUUUUACUUUGAGAAAAUUAGAGUGUUCAAAGCAGGCAUUAGCUUGAAUAUAUUAGCAUGGAAUAAUAGAAUAGGACGUUAUGGUUCUAUUUUGUUGGUUUCUAGGACCAUCGUAAUGAUUAAUAGGGACGGUCGGGGGCAUCAGUAUUCAGUUGUCAGAGGUGAAAUUCUUGGAUUUACUGAAGACUAACUACUGCGAAAGCAUUUGCCAAGGACGUUUUCAUUAA